UAGGGAAUCUUCCGCAAUGGGCGAAAGCCUGACGGAGCAACGCCGCGUGAGUGAUGAAGGUCUUCGGAUCGUAAAACUCUGUUAUUAGGGAAGAACAAAUGAGUAAGUAACUAUGCACGUCUUGACGGUACCUAAUCAGAAAGCCACGGCUAACUACGUGCCAGCAGCCGCGGUAAUACGUGGGUGGCAAGCGUUAUCCGGAAAUAUUGGGCGUAAAGCGCGCGUAGGCGGUUUUUUAAGUCUGAUGUGAAAGCCCACGGCUCAACCGUGGAGGGUCAUUGGAAACUGGAAAACUUGAGUGCAGAAGAGGAAAGUGGAAUUCCAUGUGUAGCGGUGAAAUGCGCAGAGAUAUGGAGGAACACCAGUGGCGAAGGCGACUUUCUGGUCUGUAACUGACGCUGAUGUGCGAAAGCGUGGGGAUCAAACAGG
rnacentral:rRNA from 1 species